AUCAUGCUAGGCUCACCCGAGCCCAUAACUACCCAUUACCUGACCACCCGGCCCGGACCAUAACACUUCACCGACCUGAGUUGAGCUGACCUUCAGCUGUCCCCAGCUCAGUGAGCUAGUCUUUCAGCUCAUGUGAGCUGGCCAAGACUGAAUGAGCUAGCUCCACACUUCCUCCAGCUGAUCGAGCUUGAUCCGGACCUCGCCCAGCUACCGGAUCACUCGUCCACCUCCCUUAAACUCGCGUUUACCCUUUUCUAGUUAAGUCUCAGCUUCCUGAUGCCCUUAACCAUGUUAUUGAGCUAUGAUACGCUUGUCUCUUGGUCUGAUGACCUGACUACUGCGUCUCCUCGCAUCAUGGCUCGUCCCGAAUGAUCAUGUCUAGGAUCGGGGAUGCUACACAAAGUUAGUGUUGAAAACUAAUAAAUAAAAAUCUGUACUAUUAUUAUUAAAAAAAUCUGUACUAAGAGAAAUUACCUAUGAUAGACCUAAAAAGGUUUUUUCACAAGUAUAGAUCUUAAAAAUAAAAAUGACUAAAAUAGACUUAAAUGUUUUAUCAAAAGAAGCAAAUAUACACUUAUACCUCUAGGGUUAAUUAAUCUAGACAUUAGGGUUUAGAGUAAAAGAGUGGAGUUUAGGGUUUAAGGUUUAAGGUUUAGGAUCUAGGGCUUAGAAUUUAGGGUUUAGGGUUUAUAGUUGAGGAGUGGGGUUUUGGAGAUAGGAUUUAAAUUUUUUUAAAAAUAUUUAAAAUUUUUAAAAAAUUAAAAUUUUCAAAAUAAAAAAUUGCUAUUUUGAUAAUUUUAGUAUUUGGAAUCUAUUUUUGUGACAAAAAGUUAAAAAAGUCUAUUUGAGAGAAUUGUCCUAUAAUUAGUGAUGUGAUAUAUUGUUAAGAUAAUGUAAUUAAUAAAAUUGUUAAACUGAAUAAAAUAUGGAAAAACAAUUAAUGUAAUAUAUUAAUAAAAUUACCAAAAUAACACUAUACUUUUUUUAAUAAUUCUAUAUGUGUUUCCAAACAUUUUCAUUUAUACUCCUAUUUAUGCUUUCAAAUAACUCUAAUAUGUACAUCACUUUUGAAAAUAUAAAUACUAGAAAUGAUGAAUUCAGUCUUAAUUUAUAAAUGAAGUGAAUAAAAAGGAGGCUACCACCGUCCCCAAUGGGCAAUAUAAUUAGUGAUGUGAUAUAUUGUUAAGAUAAUAUAAUUAAUAAAAUUGUUAAACUGAAUAAAAUAUGGAAAAACAAUUAAUGUAAUAUAUUAAUAAAAUUACUAAAAUAACACUAUAAUUUUUUUAAUACUUCUAUAUGUAUUUCCAAACAUUUUCAUUGAAAGGAGGCUACCACCGGCCCCAGUGGGCAAUGGCCACUGCUCACUAGAACGCAGAAUGGUACGUUACAUAUGACUGAUUUUCUGCAAUCACGCGUAAACGCAGUUUUUGCGGUUCAUAAUGAUUGUUGGCGUUUUACAACAUUCACUCAAACUGCUUCAAACCGCUUUAAACCUCAUAAAUUUAAAAAUUGGUUCCAGUUAGCGUUUGCGGUUGCGGGAUGAUACAUUUUUUUUUAAAUACUAUAAAUACAAAAAUAAAAAUAUUCAAUAAAAAAAUUAAAUUGGAAUUAUAAAAAUACUAAAAUAUAUCUAUUAUAUUUUAACUAAUAUUAUACAAUUUUAAAAUAAAAAUAUUUUCUAUAAUUUUCAAACUAUAACUUUCUAAAUAUAAUUUUUAUAUUUAUUAUAAUAUUAUGAUUUUUGAUAAUUUUAUAAUUAUAUAAAAUAUUAAUAUUGUUAAUUUAUUCUUUAAUCGAUGAUGCAUUUUGUAGUUAACCAGUCAUAAGGAUCCUACAAACGUACCAAUGUCUAACAGCAUAAUCAAUCGUAUAAAUCUCUUAAAACCGCUAGAAACCGCAACCAUCCACAUCCGCAAACUCCCACAACCGCAAACGCAACUGCUGCGUUUGAACGAGUGAGGCCCUAAAUAUACCUCCCAUAACGUUCUUUCUAAAACUACCAUUAUGUAUUGUUUUUUUUUAUUAUUUAUAUUAUUAAAAUUGAAGUAAAUUUUGGUACUGUUUGGAAACAUGAAUAACAAAAUAAAUGAAAAUUGUUUGGAAAUAUGAAUAGCAGUACUUUUAAUACUUAUUUUUAUUUACACAUUUCAUUUACAAUAAAUUAAGUAUUUUCUUUUUGUAUUUCUUUUUAUUUGCAAAUUAUGCCAUUACAUUUAAAAUCAAUUUAAAUUAGUUAAUUACAAUUUUAAAAUUUAUAUAACCAAAUUGAUAUUCAUAUUAAUAUUGUACAAAUAUUAAUUAACUAAAUCACAUGUAGUCAAAUAUAAAAAUUUAAUAUUUUGUGAACAACUAAAACAUCAUAAUCCCACCAUUAAUUUAUAUUGUAACUAGAUCAAGUAUAAGAUAUAUUUAAUAUUUUAUAUUUAUAUAUUUUAUUUAAUAAAUAAAAUAUUACUUAAUGUUAGCUUAACUUUAUAUAUAUUCUCCUUUUCUUAUAUCUAACAAAAAGAUAGUUACUAUUAUUUAAAUUUCAUCAAAAUACUUAUUAUGAUUUAGACCUAAAUAUACAUAAAAAUUAUUAGAUAUGCAUUUAAAAGAAUUAAAUAAGAGUAUUUUAAAUACAAUUAUUCAUAAAAUAAGUAUAUAAUAAUCAUACUUUCAUUUUAAAAAUUUGAUAAAUAUAAAAAAAGGUUAGAUAUAUGCAUAAGUAUUAAUCUUUUAUGUCAUUCAAAUAGAAAUACUAAUAAAAUAUAUUAUUAAAACUAAAUUACUUUUUGGUACUGUUUAGAAACAUAGAUAACAAUAUAAAUAAAAAUUGCUUGGAAACAUGGAUAGGAGUAUUUUUAGUACUCUCUUUUAUUUACACAUUUAGUCAUUGAAUUUAAAAUAAAUUAAAUACUUUCUUCUUUUUUUUUUCACAGAUUCUUCCAGUGUAUUUAAAAUCAAUUUAAAUUGAUUACUUGCAAUUCCAAAGCUUAUCUAACCAAAUCGAUAUUGAUAUAUUGACCAUUAUUAAUAUUGUACGAAUAUUAAUAAACUAAAUUGCAUGUAGUCAAAUAUAAAAAUUUUGAGAAUUCAAAUUUCAAGAAAACAAAAUAUCAUAAAAUUAAUAAUAA